rnacentral:antisense_RNA from 1 species
UACUUAGCUUUUGCAGACAAGGCAUGACAUUGCUCACAUUGCUUCCAGUGUUUUAUUUGUAUAGCCAGCUCGGGUGCUGGCUUUUUUUU